UUGACACAAUGAUGACUGCAUAGUUCAGCUGACAAACCAUGACGAAUUAAAAAUAAGUCUUUCACCCCUAACUGAUGUGUCAC